AGGCACUGACCGUAAGCAGGCACACAGAGCGCGAUCGAAAGGUCACGAGAGCAUUUCCAGAGAAAAAUCUAAAUGUUUUGUACAUUCUUAGCGUUUGAUUGCGUCAAAUGCUACCUUUCAGCGCCAACUUAGAACGACUUCGUGGGGUAGGCAUUGCCCAUGUCCUUGUUGGGUCCCUCCUCCCGUCACAUGCAGACGUUUCCGAAAUCAAUUGGAUGCUCCACCUUGUGUAGCAAGGGCCUCCGGCCACUGGGUGUCGCUGCUCUGUGCUGACUGUGUUUUGAAAACGCUCCUUCGGAUGGCUGACCCGGUUUGCUAGCCCCCCACCUGUGAAAGCCCUCGGGACCACCGCGCCGCCACUUCCUGUCGCAGGUGUACAAACCAACCCGGUUUGGCUUUGCUUUUCUUUUUCCUUGAGAUUUUUGACUUCACCAGAUCUUUUCCCAAAUCUUUUUACUUUCAUGUUAUCGACAGGAUAUUUAGUUCAGUGUUUCAGUCAACCGGCAACCAAGAGGCGACAAUCCGUGGGCAACUACAGAAAUUUUAGGUGUUUUGGUUUGUUUUGUUUUCAGUUAUCUUUUAUUAUGUAAUAAUUGAAUGGAAUUUGUGGUUUGGUAGAAAACUAAAAGUCCCUGAGUUGAAUAUAACGGCUGUUGUAAUUAUACUUAAAUAUAUUCUACGACACAGUAUCCUUUCACACUAUGAAGUAUACUCCUUUCUGGAGACAAGAAGAUGGAAGGGCCAUGGUCCAGCGGUGGAAACACACACAGGGGCCUAGCAUCUGCGCCCCUUGAGUCCUCAUUCCUGGUCGGUCCCUUCAGCCUCAGAAACUCGCCCUCAGCCUCCUUUUUCCCAUAUGUAAACGAGAGAUAAUCUUUAUCUACCUACCUCAUAGUGAUUUUGUGAAGAUGCGUUAAGUUGGUAAAGCGCGUCGGCACUUGAGUAGCGGUGUUAGCGCAAAGGAGGCCUGUGCGCAGCCCUGAAAUAGGCUACAGGAGGGGGAAGUGGAGGCAGCUUAGUAACACGACAGCAAUAAAUCACCAAGCAGAGAGUACGAGUAUUUGUGAUCACUUAGCAGAAGUGGAACUUUUUCUUCAAAGGUCUAUGUAGAACUUUUUUUUUUAAUUACCAGCUUUUUAAUGACAAAAAUUAAUUCCUUUCAUACAAACAUUGAGAAGCUUCGUACGGAAGGACGAUUUCCCUCGUAGCCAAGCUGAAUUUUAUGAAAUAGUUAUUAAAUAUAUCUGGAAGACUGGGCUCCUUCUGAUGCCUAAAGAGUUUGCACGCCUGAUCCCCAAACUACAUUUUCCAGAAUGCCUGCCUGAUACCUGAGUUCAGGACUCACGAUUGCCAAGUGGUGUUCUGGAACCCACUACCAGGAGGGAAAAUUUUUAAUCGAUAUUGAGAUUAGAUUUUGUGUUGUUUCCGGUGAAGUUCUUUUUUGACUCUUAGAUGACACAUCCCUCCCUUUACUACCCAAUAAAAGAAUGUAAAGCCUUAUUUAUGCCUGGAACUUCUGAAUUGGUUUCUUUUCAGAUUAUAAAUACAUUUUAAGAUUUUCUAAGAAGUGUUUACACAAGGGCUUCAGCUAUAUAUUGAUAUACAUGUAUCCUCAUACAUGCAUAGAUCUGAGUAUUCAACUAUAGGACACAGGAGAUGGUGGGGAAACAACCAUAGAGAACAUCCUGUACAACUUCCCCCAAAAGUCACAUGCUUUUUCUUACUUAAAUAUUUAGUCCGGAUAGGAACUAGUGCUAAAUCACAUAAUUUGGGGUUAUAAAUAUUUAUCAUUUUUCAGUCGUGGCGGUAAUAUUGUAACGUAGGAAUAUACCCAUUAAACUAUACUAACAAUUCAGAUAAUGUCUUAAUGCUGUGACUUCACAAGGAAAAGUUGUGUACAUAAAUACUGUCAUUGUGCCCUUAGUUAAUAAUUAUAUUCCUUUGCAAAAAAAAAAAAAAUGCAUGCUCUUAAAAACACAAAAUAAGGUUUCAGAAAGUUUAUCUUGAUAAAUGGGUUUAAAAUCAUGUUGUGCCUAGAACUACAUAAAGGACACAUUCAACAUAAUCUCUUCUGGAUUCUACAAUCUAGUUGCCAGUGGUAUAGCUUAAAAUUUCACAUUGGUUAUACAUUUCUAAUGCAUGGUAUUAAGCUUUCUGGAGCAUGAAUUUAACCUAGGCAAUUGCCUGAUCCAUUAAAAAAACAUGUUUAUGUUGCCAUGCCAGACUUAAGACAAAUACUUUUUUUUAGACUCAAAAUAUGAGUAUAGUAAGCGAGUCAAAAUGAUUUGGACUUCUCUGACUUUUUUCCCCCGAGUUCCACGCAUCAAUAUUUUUCAAACCCAAAGUGCAUCAGAAUAUCCUUGUUUCUGAAGGGAAAUAUCCAUAUCGUUUGUUUUUGUGCAAGAAAACUGAAGUUAACGGGACUGGAUUCAGGGACAUGCAAAUAAGAUACGGUGUGGCACGUUCUAGGGGGGCUGGCCAGGAUGAGGGGGGCGCUGGGAGAGAAGGCAUCACUGGCAGGCUUACCACCAAGGUACAAAACAGAAUCUAAACGUAGUAGCUGGACAACUCUUUGAAGUGAUGGAAAUGAAAUUCCUCACCAAAGAGAUGAACACACAGGUGGAACAACAUGUUAUUAGACAGAAGCUAUGCAUCUAAUUCCGGGGAAAACGAAGUUUGAACCUCCCCUACUUCACUCUUAAGGCUUUCCAGCCCACAUGGAAGGCGCUAGAGUCUUCCCCAAAAUAGAAGACUUUUUUAGAGAACUACUUUUUAGCAAAGAUGCAUGUGAUUGUACCGCCGUGGACCAGCCAUUAUGUAAUUAUCACAUAUGUGAUGCUUUGUAAAUGUAGUUGUCAACUCUUACGGUCACUUCCAGUAAAUUCUGUCCCAUAAACAUGUGGCAGAAAAUUCUCUUGCUCCAAAGGAAUGCCUGCCAACUUGCUUACAUCCAGUCUUACCCCUCGCAUCUUACUAUCGCAAAACUUUCAUAUCCAGAUGGUAUGGGACGGUUGAAAAAUGAAGCUUUCGGUAAAUUGCUUAUUGAAGGUCUCACCUGAAGCUUCUCUUCAGUGAAGGGGGCAGGAGGAGCGGGGAACCUGGGUGAGAAUCUUGUCUCUAUUAAAUUGUCUCUGCUUUUCUUCUCAGUUACCAGACAGCUUGGUAGCCUGGAGAGCAAGAUGAUAGGGAAACGUGCACAUUAGGUUUUUCCCAUUCUCAGAGCAAGGAGGGCAGCCAGGAAGCCAGAGGUUCCCACGCCUUUGAAACCAAAUAGUACAUUGAAUUUAGGGCUAAGACAAAAAAGAAAAAAAAAAUGUUGUAGAGUAUGAGCGACAUCAUCCUUCCUACCGGUUCUUUUCUCAGUUUCUACUGAAUUCUUUUUUACGGUUUAGACCAGAGGUUUCUAAUAAUGAUCACUGAUGCCAUUUUAUGUUAUAAAUUCCACGCAGAAAUGGUGAAAGCAUGAGUUACCCACAAAAUUACCGGGAAUACUGACUUUGUCUGAAACUGACACCCUCCCUAGCAAACUAGAAACAAAUACAACUUAGUAUUCUGGUGUCACUACGAACAUCUAGUAAAAAAAUAAAAAGUAAACAAAAGGAGCGUUUUGCUCAGCAUUAAACCAUCGCACAACAUAAACCCGCUUCCAAAUGGCAAGGAUUUUUACUACUGACAUUCGUCCUUCCUUCUGCAUUAUUUUCAGUAACUAAUUUUCACAUCUAACUACCUCAGCUACUGUCCUUUCAUUUAGAAACAUGAAACCAUGCACUUUGUAACCAACAGGUUUUUCAUUUCAAAUUUCAAAAGGAUACUUGGUGCAAAGCAAUUUUCCAAAAUUUAUAUAUGACGGAAGAAACCCACCCUCAGCAGCUUAUCCUUAACUCUGUUUGUUUGUUUCUGAGUUGGAUUGGGGUAAAAAAAAAAAAAAAAAAAAAGAAAGAAAGAAAGAAAGAAAAAGAAAAAAUUCGUUUCCACUUAAUACCAAGAAAAGCUGCUCUAUAUUUGCUUGAUUUGCCUUAAGUAUUUUGUGCUCCUUUCCCUGUUCAAUUUUUUUUGUUUGUUUGUGUUAAAGCGAUCUCUGAAAAGAAAAUGUAACAGGUGGCAGACGAGCAUCAACUAAGAGAAGGGACCAAUCAUUUCUCAGUUCCCUGUCGUCAACUCUGCAUGACAUUCUGAUUGUGCAAAAUUGCCAUUCCUGUGUUUCUCUCUCCCAUGACCACUAGAGAAAUAAGGUCCGAGAGACCCCACGUGUGUGUUUAGGGAACGGUGUAGACAUUUCCCCCAGGACGAGCACAGUGCCUGGACCCGAAUGAUAACCUUGGCGGUUCUUGGGCUUUUACUUUGUAAACAUUGUACAAAUGUAUUUGGAAUCUUAUUUGAAAUGAAGAGUUAAACUAGUUACGAAAUUCUUUUCCUUCCUGUAAAUAUAUAUAUUCAAACUCCAUGUAUCCAAACAUUCCUUUAGCGUUCGGAUUGUAAGAGUGUCUUUAUUGGCUGGAGGCCGCCGUCUCGGGCCGCGGUCCCACGUGCUCUAGUGGAAAGCACAGUGUGUGGUGUAUUUGAUGUACUAUAAUACCAUAGUUAUUUUGGUCUGUUAAGUAAGUUGCAAUUUGUGAUGAAAUGAAGUGGAAAGUAGUGCUUCAUAACGAGCAAAUUUCCUCGGUUACAUGAUUUUUUCUUGUAAAACUUAAAAAAAAAGAAAACUUGAAAUUUUA
rnacentral:lncRNA from 1 species